rnacentral:rRNA from 1 species
UACGUAGGGUGCAAGCGUUAAUCGGAAUUACUGGGCGUAAAGCGUGCGCAGGCGGCUUUGCAAGUCAGAUGUGAAAUCCCCGGGCUUAACCUGGGAACUGCAUUUGUGACUGCCUGGCUGGAGUGCGGCAGAGGGGGAUGGAAUUCCGCGUGUAGCAGUGAAAUGCGUAGAUAUGCGGAGGAACACCGAUGGCGAAGGCAAUCCCCUGGGCCUGCACUGACGCUCAUGCACGAAAGCGUGGGGAGCAAACAGG